ensembl:lncRNA novel transcript
UAGUAUACAAUUUAUUUCUCCAUGGGCAACAAGACAUGCCAGCAACUGCACGGCUACUUCUCCAUUUAGCCACUGGAGAUGAUCUCCACACCACACCGCUGCUGCCAGAGGGAGCAUGGAGGGAUGGUGUCAGCAAUUUGGGACUGUUUUUUCUAUCUCUUUAGUGCCUCUUUCAACAAUAUGAAGUUAAAACCAGGACAGAGAAUAAAGGGUCCCUGUAUUCAUGCCUUCCUGGAAAUCUCAGUGCAAGGCCCUAUCAGGAGGUUUCCUGGAGCAGCUAAGGGAACAGCUAGACCACCCAGGAAGAAAUGACAGAAGCCUACCUGACUUCCAAUCUGCUUGCUUCAUGGUGUAAUGGGGGCCUAGACAGAAGCACCCCAAGGACACUUACAACAACUGUUCUGCCAGCUCUAGUCCAUUGGAGAAGAUGUGCCAACAUACCUUCUCACCAUCCCUAGAGCCCAACCUUGCUAUGGAAAGGUCAAACCCUUACCAUUGGCCCUGCCAAGGAUCCCCAGACAGAGAAGCACAAUGGAGGCCAUAAAUUAUGGCUUCUUAUCAUGGCCUCCACAUAACUUAAACUCUGGAUGGUGAAUGAAAUCUGGGGCCAAGUCUUAAAGGGUCAGGGUAGCCAAUGAGCAUAACUCAAUAUUUGUGUUUCUAAGAGAAAACCACAGAACCUCCAUAUCCAUGGCAAACUGGCCAGCCACAGGCUGGAUCCAGUGUGCAGUAGUGUUUUGUGUACACCAUUCACUAUUUGUCUACUUGGGUUAAAAAUGUUUUAUAUUAGUUAGCAAUGUUUAAACAUUGGGAGAAUUAAAGGGAAAUGAAAACGUACUUCCCACAAAUACUUGCACAUAAAUAUUCACAGCAGCAUUGUUUAUAAUUGCCCAAAACUAGAAACAACCCAAAUAUCCAUCAACUGAUGAAUGAUAAACAAGUUGUGGUAUAUUCAUCCAAUAAAACAAUAUUCAGCAAUAAAAAUAAACAAAUCAGGCACUUAAUAUAAUUGAAUAUCAAGGUCAUUAUGUUGAGUGAAAGAGGCCAGAAAAUAAAAGUAUACACUAUUUGAUUCCAUUUAUAUAAUAUUCUAGAAAAUGAAAACCAGUCUAUACUUACAGAAAACAAGGUGGUAGCUUACAGAGAUGGGGUAGAGGGAGGGAGAGAUGACAGAGAGGCAUAAAAAAACUUUCCGGACAAUGAAAAUGUUCUGUAUUUUAAUUGUGGUGAUGGUUUCAUGGAUGUACAAGUUCAUCAAAUCUCAUCAAGUUAAAUAUAUGCAUUUAUUUUAUAUUAAGUGUACCUCAAUAAAGCAGAAAAAUUUAAAAUUGGUAAUAUUUAUAUACAAA